AUUGAACGCUGGCGGCAUGCUUUACACAUGCAAGUCGAACGGUAACAGGCCUUCGGGUGCUGACGAGUGGCGAACGGGUGAGUAAUGCAUCGGAACGUACCCAGAGGUGGGGGAUAACGCAGCGAAAGCUGUGCUAAUACCGCAUGUGAUCUGAGGAUGAAAGCGGGGGACCGAGCAGCAAUGUUUGGCCUCGCGCCUUUGGAGCGGCCGAUGUCGGAUUAGCUAGUUGGUGGGGUAAAGGCCUACCAAGGCGACGAUCCGUAGCUGGUCUGAGAGGACGACCAGCCACACUGGGACUGAGACACGGCCCAGACUCCUACGGGAGGCAGCAGUGGGGAAUUUUGGACAAUGGGCGCAAGCCUGAUCCAGCAAUGCCGCGUGCGGGAAGAAGGCCUUCGGGUUGUAAACCGCUUUUGGCAGGAACGAAACGGUGUCCGCUAAUACCGGGCGCUAAUGACGGUACCUGCAGAAUAAGCACCGGCUAACUACG
rnacentral:rRNA from 1 species